UCUAGGUCGAAUCACGUCAAUUGGUACAUAUUCAUCUGUGAAACUGGUGAACUGAAUGAAAUGGAGGUGUCACUGGGGCUCACAGUACUGCUCCACUGUUACUGAACCUGGUGGCUCUAGGUCGAAUCACGUCAAUUGGUACAUAUUCAUGCGUGAAACUGGUGAACUGAAUAAAAUGGAGGUGUCACUGGGGCUCACAGUACUGCUUCACUGUUACUGACCAUGGUGGCU